UUCUUUCUUGAAGCCCGUCACGUAGGUAGAGUCUGAUGUGUUGUAUCUUCUCUGGAACUGAAGUGUUCAGGUUCACAGUCCAGGUGGGAUU